rnacentral:lncRNA from 9 species
ACACUGGAAGGGAAGAGGAAGGAAGUACAUUGGUUCUUCAGGAGGCGGGGGAUGCGGUGGACAGGAGAAGUAGCAGUGACAUGGUACCCUCUUGACUCUUGCAAACAAAAUCUACCCUGGUUACCACAAAUGCUUUUCUCCAUGCCUUUGCUUUUGAAAGUAUUAGCUACAAGGAUGAGUCUGGGAUCCAAAGUGGACACUGUGGUGAAAAGCAUGGCUACUUCUGGAAAGAACUCAGAUGAAGAGAAGGAGGGGAAAGGAGGAUUGUCAGUCUUCAUUUGGUAUCAGAGAUGCCUUUGAACUUCAGGAAAGCCGCCAUUUUGUUUUUGUUCACUUCUCUAAUGCUUUGUGUCUGCAACAUGAAACACAAGCCCAUCCUAACUCAGAGUACCUCAUCACAAAUUGGAUUGCAGAGAACUCAAAUGAAGAGGACAAGCAAACUCAGGAAUGUGGAGCACCCAUCAUCUGCCAUGGUCAAGGAGAUAAUCUGUGGAGAGAGAGAGAAAACAGAUGGAGAGAGCUGCACACGCAGAGAUCCACGAGGCUCCUGAGAAUAAACAAGAAUCUCUUGGCUUCUCAAGAGCCUUCCAGACUUUCCUCCUUAUGUUUGGGAGUUUUCCUGACUGCCCUCCUUGACCUUGGUCAGCAAGGACACUUAUAAACUUGGCGGUGUGGGGUGUGUGUGUGUGUGUGUGUGUGUGUGUAGUGGGGAAGGUCAUGAGAUUUAAGCCAGUUUCUAUUAUUUUUUUUUUGUCUUUUGUCUUUUUAUGGCCACACCCAUGGCAUAUGGAGGUUCCCAGGCUAGGGGUCUAAUUGGAGCUGUAGCUGCUGGCCUACGCCACAGCCACAGCAACACGGGAUCUGAGCUGUGUCUGUGACCUACAGCACAGCUCACAGCAACACUGGAUGCUUAACCCACUGAGCAAGGCCAGGGAUUGAACCCGCAACUUCAUGGUUCCUAGUCGGAUUCAUUAACCAUUGAGCCACAAUGGGAACUCCUGAGUUUCUACUCUUCAUAUACAUAAAGUUCCUAAAGCAUAUUGGUAAUACUUUUCUAUUUUAAUUGAACUUUGGUAUUUACUCUAUCAUUUUCCAAUGGAUGUGGCAUCAACUUAACAUUCUCUAGCCUCUCCUUUCAUUAUUACCUGGCCCCUAAAUAACUUUUGCCCCCACUUCUUGUCCCUCUUCCUCCUUUUGGGGCUCCACCAUCUUUGCCUCUGCUCAGCUAUUUCUUCAACUUCAUCCUUAUUCCUAGAUGUUCUAGGCAAUCUCCUACUCAACUCAAAGCUCAACAAAAUAUCUCUUCCUCUGUAAUGUCUUUCUGAAUAAUUCAGGAAAGAUGAAUCAUUUUGCUGUUUAUAUUCACACAGUAUUUUAUUUGCCUUUAAUAUAUUAUGUUAUCAUUAGUGGUUAAAGUGUUUCCCUCAAGGGUAGAGACUGGGUAUCCCUCUCUAUUACUUAUCUUUUAUCACCAUCAUGUAGGACGGCACCAGGAGGGGAAUAAUAAGUGCUCAGAAAAAAAAAAUAUAUGUUUUGUAUGAAUGGACUCAGGAAAUAUCACAGCAAAUAUGUGUAUGUGAUGUUUUGUGAAUUCUAGAAAUAAAGUAUGUCAUCCAAGAGUGGUAUAAAUACAUAUAUAUUAUAAGAAUUCCAUAUAGCAUAAGGUACUAAGGAUAAUCAGCAAAUAUAGUGGUUAAUGAAAAAUACCACCAUUAAGGAAUACAUUAAAAUGAAGUUUUGUAAGAACCAAAAA